rnacentral:tRNA from 2 species
GGGCUAUUAGCUCAGUGGUAGAGCGCGCCCCUGAUAAUGUCCAGGAUGGCCCAG